rnacentral:rRNA from 1 species
GCGCGAAAUUUCCGCAAUGCGCGAAAGCGUGACGGGGGUAAUCCGAGUGAUAGCCUAACGGUUAUCUUUUGGCCAGUCUGAAUAACUGGCAGAAUAAGUGGUGGGUAAAUCCUGUGCCAGCCGCCGCGGUAAUACAGGUAGCACAAGUGGUGUCCACGAAUAUUGAGUCUAAAGCGCCCGUAGCUGGCCUUGCCAGUCUUCUGUGAAAUCUCACGGCUUAACCGUGAGGCGUGCAGAAGAUACUACAAGGCUUGGGAGUGGGGGAGGUCAGAGGUACUAUAGGGGGAGGAGUAAAAUCCUGUAAUCCUUGUAGGACCCUCGGUGGCGAAGGCGUCUGACCAAAACACAUCCGACAGUGAGGGACGAAGGCUAGGGGAGCGAACCGG